UAGGGAAUUUUGCGCAAUGGGCGAAAGCCUGACGCAGCGACGCCGCGUGAGUGAAGAAGGCCUUCGGGUUGUAAAGCUCUGUCAGACGGGACGAAUAAGUGGAUUCAAACAGGGUCCAUGGUGACGGUACCGUCAGAGGAAGUACCGGCUAACUCUGUGCCAGCAGCCGCGGUAAUACAGAGGGUACAAGCGUUAUUCGGAAUUACUGGGCGUAAAGCGUAUGUAGGUGGGUAGACAAGUCAGGUGUGAAAUCCCGGAGCUCAACUUCGGAACUGCACUUGAAACUGUCUGUCUUGAGCUUGUCAGAGGAUGGUAGAAUGCCUGGUGUAGAGGUGAAAUUCGUAGAUAUCAGGAGGAAUACCUGAGGCGAAGGCGGCCAUCUGGGACAGUGCUGACACUGAGAUACGAGAGCGUGGGUAGCAAACA
rnacentral:rRNA from 1 species